CAUUUACAUUACAUUUACACUGUAUUUUUCCUACUUCCUUCCUUCCUUCCUUCCUUCCUUCCUUCCUUCCUUCCUUCCUUCCUUCCUUCCUUCCUAUUUCUUUCUCUCUCUCUCUCUUUCUUUCUCUUUCUCUCUUUUUNUUUUUUUUUUUUUUUUUUUUUUUUUUUUUUUUUUGUAAAUGAUUGCUAGUGGAUCUUUGCUGACCUAAUGAUUGUAUUUAAAUUACAGCUAGACAUUUAGUUAAUGCGUGCAUGGAUGUGCAAGUGCAUUUUUUCAUGAGGCAUAAUGGAUAUUUUAAUGACAUAUAACAUGGAUAUAUUGUUAUAAGCUAAACUUUAGAAGGACACACAAUAAGUUGUAGGGAUCAUGGAAGGUUGAUAGGUUUUUAUCAGACAAACUACUUGAACUGGUACAGAGUAUCACAUAUCUCCCAUUCCCCUGCACCACAGAAAUCAGGAACAAAACAGUAUUUCUGGAACAAAUGGAGAAUUUAUUGCAUGACUACCAAAUGACUACCUCUGUCUAGUGCUUUCUGAAAGAGGGGUUACUGCCUUUAUUGGUACUCUCUGGUCAUCUGUGUCCACAGAGUUAGAAGGGUUAAGGAGGGGUUAGAGGGGUCUGGCAACACUUCUACACUUGGAGAGAAGAGAAAGGGAGCUCUGUUGCAGAUUACUUUUAAUUAUUCUACUGCCCAUUUUAAAUCACUAGCAUGAGCAGUUCAGUGGAAGAAAGGACACUGUAAUGAUUUGGGGAAGCUGAGGAGUUGUCAGCUGAAUCCAUGGGGUGUGGCAGAUUCUGACUGCUCUGGUACUAGGAUGUAGUCACUGCUGAUGUGGUUUAGGAGAGAAGUGCUUUGGUGCAAGAGACUGACUGAGAGGGAAGAAGUGAUGGAAGCUAGCUGUAUUUAUGUGUUGAUGGCUACAGACCCAUGAUCUCCUGUCAUGAAAUGAGUGGCUUGCAGGUGGAUUGCAUGUGAGAAGUUUUCUACUUCAGCAGCCACAGACUAUCACUACUCUUCCCCCAGUUGUGCAGCAUCAGUGAAACUAAAUCGCUGGCUGGACAAAUGAUAUUGGUGAGUAUUUUAAAUAUUUAACUAUUUCACUACAUUUUGCAUUGGUUUUAUAGAAGCCCUAUACGUUUUUUGAAGUCAAAUGUAGUAUGCUGUGCGUAUGUCUGUGUGUAUUUUAGAUGCCAGAAAUAUAAAUCACAAUCCAAAACUACUGAGUUGAGAUACAUAAAUAUUGCGGGUAUAGCUAUGCUUCCAUUACGCACACUGUAAAGCUAAAAGCCUUCCUUAGCGAUUUGGUUGUCAUAUAACAAAA
ensembl:lncRNA